GAUGAACGCUGGCGGCGUGCCUAAUACAUGCAAGUCGAGCGAACAGACGAGGAGCUUGCUCCUCUGACGUUAGCGGCGGACGGGUGAGUAACACGUGGAUAACCUACCUAUAAGACUGGGAUAACUUCGGGAAACCGGAGCUAAUACCGGAUAAUAUAUUGAACCGCAUGGUUCAAUAGUGAAAGACGGUUUUGCUGUCACUUAUAGAUGGAUCCGCGCCGCAUUAGCUAGUUGGUAAGGUAACGGCUUACCAAGGCAACGAUGCGUAGCCGACCUGAGAGGGUGAUCGGCCACACGGGAACUGAGACACGGUCCAGACUCCUACGGGAGGCAGCAGUAGGGAAGCUUCCGCAAUGGGCGAAAGCCUGACGGAGCAACGCCGCGUGAGUGAUGAAGGUCUUCGGAUCGUAAAACUCUGUUAUUAGGGAAGAACAAAUGUGUAAGUAACUAUGCACGUCUUGACGGUACCUAAUCAGAAAGCCACGGCUAACUACGUG
rnacentral:rRNA from 1 species